GGAAUCUUCCACAAUGGACGCAAGUCUGAUGGAGCAACGCCGCGUGAGUGAAGAAGGGUUUCGGCUCGUAAAGCUCUGUUGUAAGAGAAGAAUGACAUUGAGAGUAACUGUUCAAUGUGUGACGGUAUCUUACCAGAAAGGAACGGCUAAAUACGUGCCAG
rnacentral:rRNA from 1 species